rnacentral:rRNA from 1 species
ACAUGCAGUCGUACGAAAGUGUUAAACUUUUAGUGGGCGGACGGGUGAGUAACACGUGAGAAUUUACCUUUAGGAGGGGAAUAACAGUUGGAAACGACUGCUAAUGCCGCAUAUCAUAACUAUGAAAGAAGAAAUUCGCCUAAAGAAAAGCUUGCGUCUAAUUAGCUAGUUGGUGAGGGUAAAGGCCUACCAAGGCGACGAUCAGUAGCUGGUUUGAGAGGACGACCAGUCACACUGGAACUGAGACACGGUCCAGACUCCUACGGGAGGCAGCAGUGGGGAAUUUUCUGCAAUGGGCGAAAGCCUGACAGAGCAAUACCGCGUGAGGGAAGAAAGCCCACAGGGUUGUAAACCUCUUUUGUCAAGGAAGAAGUUCUGACGUUACUUGACGAAUAAGCAUCGGCUAACUCCGUGCCAGCAGCCGCGGUAAGACGGGGGAUGCAAGUGUUAUCCGGAAUCACUGGGCGUAAAGCGUUUGUAGGUGGUUUAGUAAGUCUAUUGUUAAAGCUUGAAGCUCAACUUCAAAAAUGUAAUAGAAACUACUAGACUUGAGGAUAGUAGGGGUAAAGGGAAUUUCCAGUGGAGCGGUGAAAUGCGUAGAGAUUGGAAGGACCACCGAUGGCGAAGGCACUUUACUGGGCUAUUUCUGACACUAAGAGACGAAAGCUAGGGUAGCGAAUGGGAUUAGAUACCCCCAGUAGUCCUAGC